CGCGUAGGUGGCCAUGCAAGUCGGGAGUGAAAUGUCACGGCUCAACCGUGGACCUGCUUUCGAAACUGCAUGGCUAGAGGAUGAGAGGGGAAGGUGGAAUUCCAGGUGUAGCGGUGAAAUGCACAGAUAUCUGGAGGAACACCAGAGGCGAAGGCGGCCUUCUGGAUCAUGCCUGACACUGAGGCGCGAAAGCGUGGGGAGCGAACA
rnacentral:rRNA from 1 species